CCCCUAGAUGUUCUGGGCCGCGCGCGCGCUACACUGAACAGUUCGACAAGUCUUAACCUUGGCCGAUAGGUCUGGGUAAUCUUUGAACGCUGUUCGUGAUUGGGAUAGACCUUUGCAAUUAUGGGUCUUCAACGAGGAAUUCCUAGUAAACGCAAGUCAUCAGCUUGCAUUGAUUACGUCCCUGCCCUUUGUACACACCGCCCGUCGCACCUACCGAUUGAAUGGUCCGGUGAAAUCUCGGGACGGCGGCUUGGUCGCUUGCGUCCGACUGCUGAAACUUGAUUAAACCAUAUCAUUUAGAGGAAGGUGAAGUCGUAACA
rnacentral:rRNA from 1 species